rnacentral:lncRNA from 1 species
GAUCUACUUUAGUGCAAUUCUUGAAGUUUAGUCCAAUCCAUCUGAAUGCUACAGUUCCUCAGAUUAUUCUGUAAUAAAAAUCUAUCAAGAAAGAGAGUUAUUCCUCUAGGACCUAUGUACAUUUAUUUGCAAACAUCAGACCACUUUGCUAGUGUAUUUUCUGUCUCAGAUGAAAUGUUGAAAUGGCUUGACCCAAAUGCAAACAUGCCUGGCAAGAUGUGUUAUACUUCACAAACCGCUAAUCAGACCAGAGAAUCCAGGAGCGUGAUGCCAGCUCAGCUGAGGCCUGCAGUGUCUGCAGUUAACAUUGUCAAGUCUUCCCUGACUGUAAACAGUUACCUCACAUUACCUCAGAGCAUGAGGCUGUAUUUGUGCGUGAGGGCUGGCCACCACAGCCUCGCUUAGCUGAAAUUCUGGCUUCUGGAAGUCAUUUUCUACCACGUGCAUGCUUCAAUAAAUCUGCAAAAUAACUUAAGCAAAG